CAAGUACCGUUCGAAUAGGGCGGCACCUUGACGGUACCUAACCAGAAAGCCACGGCUAAUUACGUGCCAGCAGCCGCGGUAAUACGUAGGUGGCAAGCGUUGUCCGGAAUUAUUGGGCGUAAAGCGCGCGCAGGCGGUUUCUUAAGUCUGAUGUGAAAGCCCCCGGCUCAACCGGGGAGGGUCAUUGGAAACUGGGGAACUUGAGUGCAGAAGAGGAGAGUGGAAUUCCACGUGUAGCGGUGAAAUGCGUAGAGAUGUGGAGGAACACCAGUGGCGAAGGCGACUCUCUGGUCUGUAACUGACGCUGAGGCGCGAAAGCGUGGGGAGCGAACAGGAUUAGAUACCCUGGUAGUCCACGCCGUAAACGAUGAGUGCUAAGUGUUAGAGGGUUUCCGCCCUUUAGUGCUGCAGCAAACGCAUUAAGCACUCCGCCUGGGGAGUACGGUCGCAAGACUGAAACUCAAAGGAAUUGACGGGGGCCCGCACAAGCGGUGGAGCAUGUGGUUUAAUUCGAAGCAACGCGAAGAACCUUACCAGGUCUUGACAUCCUCUGACAACCCUAGAGAUAGGGCUUCCCCUUCGGGGGCAGAGUGACAGGUGGUGCAUGGUUGUCGUCAGCUCGUGUCGUGAGAUGUUGGGUUAAGUCCCGCAACGAGCGCAACCCUUGAUCUUAGUUGCCAGCAUUCAGUUGGGCACUCUAAGGUGACUGCCGGUGACAAACCGGAGGAAGGUGGGGAUGACGUCAAAUCAUCAUGCCCCUUAUGACCUGGGCUACACACGUGCUACAAUGGGCAGAACAAAGGGCAGCGAAGCCGCGAGGCUAAGCCAAUCCCACAAAUCUGUUCUCAGUUCGGAUCGCAGUCUGCAACUCGACUGCGUGAAGCUGGAAUCG
rnacentral:rRNA from 1 species